GCGUCGUGAGAACUUAAGUAUGCGUUAUUCUUAUAAUAAAAAAGUUUCCUCGAAGAUGGUAUAAAAGGGAGUGUUGCUGAAUGAAACAUCACAUUUUCUACAAAUUUCUACUGCACAAGUGAAACCCUCGAGUUUGAAAAUGAAACUCUUCGUUUUAACCCUCGCCAUUCUCUCCAUCGCUGUGCUCGUUACAUCAGUUCCAUUACCAGAUGUACCUGAUGACAUGAAUCUAAUUAUUGCGGAUCCUAAUCUGGUGAACGAUGGUAUGGCGCGAGGAAAACGUGCUCCGUGGCUCGGACUACUCGUCCGAGGAGUAGCUUCCGGUAUCGGUAGUUUCUUCGGCGCUCGAAGUCGACAAUGAUGAGGACCAGAAAGCCCACUCCAGCGCCUGACCCUAUCCCAAACACUGGAGCGAAAGCAAUAUCUCCAGUGUUUAUAAUUUCCAUAAUUUUUGUAACUGAUAAAUUUGAAUAAAUUUUGAAAUAUUAUCACAAGGAAA